UAAUACGUAGGGUGCGAGCGUUAAUCGGAAUUACUGGGCGUAAAGGGUGCGCAGGCGGUUGAUUAAGUCAGAUGUGAAAUCCCCGGGCUCAACCUGGGAAUGGCAUUUGAGACUGGUCGGCUAGAGUGUGUCAGAGGGGGGUAGAAUUCCACGUGUAGCAGUGAAAUGCGUAGAGAUGUGGAGGAAUACCGAUGGCGAAGGCAGCCCCCUGGGAUAACACUGACGCUCAGGCACGAAAGCGUGGGGAGCAAACAGG
rnacentral:rRNA from 1 species